CCUACGGGUGGCAGCAGUGGGGAAUAUUGGGCAAUGGGCGCAAGCCUGACCCAGCAACGCCGCGUGAAGGAAGACGGCUUUCGGGUUGUAAACUUCUUUUCUCAGGGACGAAGAAAGUGACGGUACCUGGGGAAGAAGCUACGGCUAACUACGUGCCAGCAGCCGCGGUAAUACGUAGGUGGCAAGCGUUAUCCGGAUUUAUUGGGUGUAAAGGGCGUGUAGGCGGGAGCGCAAGUCAGAGGUGAAAACUCAGGGCUCAACCCUGAGCCUGCAGUUGAAACUGUGUUUCUUGAGUGCGGGAGAGGCAAGCGGAAUGCGGGGUGUAGCGGUGAAAUGCGUAGAUAUACGGAGGAACACCAGUGGCGAAGGCGGAUUGCUGGACAGUAACUGACGCUGAGGCGCGAAAGCGUGGGGAGCGAACAGGAUUAGAUACCCCUGUAGUC
rnacentral:rRNA from 1 species